AUUGAACGCUGGCGGCAUGCCUUACACAUGCAAGUCGAACGGCAGCACGGGUGCUUGCACCUGGUGGCGAGUGGCGAACGGGUGAGUAAUAUAUCGAACGUACCUUAUUGUGGGGGAUAAAGCAGCGAAAGCUGUGCUAAUACCGCAUAAUCCCUAAGGGGGAAAGCGGGGGACCGUAAGGCCUCGCGCAAUUAGAGCGGCCGAUACCUGAUUAGCUAGUUGGUGAGGUAAAGGCACACCAAGGCAACGAUCAGUAGCUGGUCUGAGAGGACUAUCAGCCACACUGUGGAUGAGACACGGCCCAGACGCCUACGGGGGGCAGCAGUGGGGAAUUUUGGACAAUGGGGGCAACCCUGAUCCAGCAAUGCCGCGUGAGUGAAGAAGGCCUUCGGGUUGUAAAGCUCUUUUGUCAGGGAAGAAACAGCAGCUCUAACACAGUUUGCGAAUGACGGUACCUGAAGAAUAAGCACCGGCUAACUACGUGCCAGCAGCCGCCGUAA
rnacentral:rRNA from 1 species